rnacentral:tRNA from 1 species
UCCCUGGGGGUCCAGUGGUUCAGACUCUGCACUUUCACUGCCUAGGGCCCGGGUUCGAUUCCUGGUGAGGGAA